AUCAAGCUUAUCGAUACCGUCCAGCCUGCUAAGCUGCAACUGACAUUGAGGCUCGAAAGUGUGGGUAUCAAACAGGAUUAGAUACCCUGGUAGUCCACACAGUAAACGAUGAAUACUCGCUGUUUGCGAUAUACAGUAAGCGGCCAAGCGAAAGCGUUAAGUAUUCCACCUGGGGAGUACGCCGGCAACGGUGAAACUCAAAGGAAUUGACGGGGGCCCGCACAAGCGGAGGAACAUGUGGUUUAAUUCGAUGAUACGCGAGGAACCUUACCCGGGCUUGAAUUGCAACUGAAUGAUGUGGAGACAUGUCAGCCGCAAGGCAGUUGUGAAGGUGCUGCAUGGUUGUCGUCAGCUCGUGCCGUGAGGUGUCGGCUUAAGUGCCAUAACGAGCGCAACCCUUAUCUUUAGUUACUAACAGGUCAUGCUGAGGACUCUAGAGAGACUGCCGUCGUAAGAUGUGAGGAAGGUGGGGAUGACGUCAAAUCAGCACGGCCCUUACGUCCGGGGCUACACACGUGUUACAAUGGGGGGUACAGAAGGCGGCUACCUGGUGACAGGAUGCUAAUCCCAAAAACCUCUCUCAGUUCGGAUCGAAGUCUGCAACCCGACUUCGUGAAGCUGGAUUCGCUAGUAAUCGCGCAUCAGCCAUGGCGCGGUGAAUACGUUCCCGGGCCUUGUACACACCGCCCGUCAAGCCAUGAAAGCCGGGGGUACCUGAAGUACGUAACCGCAAGGAGCGUCCUAGGGUAAAACUGGUAAUUGGGGCUAAGUCGUAACAAGGUAGCCGUACCGGAAGGUGCGGCUG
rnacentral:rRNA from 1 species